GUGUGCAAAGGAGAAACCACAACGACCACAGGGCUUUCAUUUCAUCCCAUCGUCUUAACGACCAUUGACCCAGCUGAUAAAUUAAACUUUUCCAGAGUCCAGUAGAAAGGACGGCAAACACAUUUUUUUUUCGAUCAACAAAUGCCUUGAUUGCAGUUCUUGGUUCGUCUUUUAAAAUUAAUGCGCUGUCGAUUUAUUUUACAACAGACGCGACAGGGGAAUCUAUACAUCGCUGCAGUUAUCUUUGAGGGAAACCAAUUCAACCCAAGCACUCUUUGAUAAAGUGAUGAUUACGUAACUGCAGAUCAUCUGUCCAUCAUCGUAUAAAGCCCGCCCUGGCAAUUUGAUUGGUCCGACUAAUUCUGAACCGAUCAUAAUUACUCCUCAAUGGAUUGUGGAUCGUUUAGGCGUGGAAGCAUAAAGUCAAGAGAGAAGCCCAUAGAGAGUCAUAAAGUUGAUCCUGCUGCUCAUAGACAGCUCCUACUCAAGCUCUUAGUCUCUGCGAGAUUCGGAAGCGAUUGAUUCAGAUUCCUCUUGGCACAGCUACUAGAAGACUUAAAACUGUCAGACAGGUUGCUCACAUCACUUCUACGUCGUCGAGCUCAGUUUGAGCCUGUGCAGUACGCUCAGCCAUCAGGAAAUCGAACUUCCCGACCAAAAAAUGUUGUUGGCGGGGUUCGGGCUGACAUCCAGGCAAGUGCUUAAUUAGGGUUGGAGCUAAACUCUGCAGGAAAGUGGCCCUCAAGGACCAAACUUGCCUAUCCCAGCUUCAGGGGCUUUGUACGUACGUAGGCCUACUUAUAA